AGUGAUUCACCCUCUCUCUGCCUUACUGUCUCCAAGUAGCUCGUCUUCCUCUCCGCUGGCACUCCGGCUAUGAAUCGACUGAUGAAGCGAAUGGCUAGGUCUCCGAAACUCCUGAUACUUCCGGCCUCAAGGCUGUUGAACCACGCCCGCGCUGGUCCCGAGAGCGUCGUUGGGAAUACUUUACACAUUAAGGCAUCAGAUAGAGUUUGCAACUCCAUGAAGGUCUUAUAGUUCAUGACGUGCUCCCUCGGGUUACCAGUUCCAUCAUAAGCCGCCAUUGAUGGCAUCAUAAACUUCUUAGGGACAGUCUCUUGCUGCACCCACUUGGAGAAAGGGGAAGAAGUAGGCAAAGAGGUUUGGCUUUGGUCUUUCUUACCUAACUC
rnacentral:lncRNA from 1 species